rnacentral:rRNA from 1 species
UCCAGACUCCUACGGGAGGCAGCAGUGGGGAAUAUUGCACAAUGGGGGAAACCCUGAUGCAGCGACGCCGCGUGAGCGAAGAAGUAUUUCGGUAUGUAAAGCUCUAUCAGCAGGGAAGAAAUUGACGGUACCUGAGUAAGAAGCUCCGGCUAAAUACGUGCCAGCAGCCGCGGUAAUACGUAUGGAGCAAGCGUUAUCCGGAUUUACUGGGUGUAAAGGGAGCGUAGGCGGCCUGCCAAGUCUGAUGUGAAAUACCGGAGCUCAACCCCGGGGCUGCAUUGGAAACUGGCAGGCUGGAGUGUCGGAGAGGCAGGCGGAAUUCCUAGUGUAGCGGUGAAAUGCGUAGAUAUUAGGAGGAACACCAGUGGCGAAGGCGGCCUGCUGGACGAUGACUGACGCUGAGGCUCGAAAGCGUGGGGAGCAAACAGGAUUAGAUACCCCAGUAU